rnacentral:rRNA from 1 species
GGUUUCCGUAGGUGAACCUGCGGAAGGAUCAUUACGUAUUAGGGCUGCCCUUCGGCGCUCUUUACACACCCACCCUUUGCCUAUGUGUACCUUUCAUAGCUUCCUCGGCGGGCUCGCCCGCCGCCAGGAACCCACGAAACCCCUUGCAUCCUACAUGAAAACUUCCGAUUACCAACCUAAAUUAUCACAACUUUCAACAAUGGAUCUCUUGGUUCUGGCAUCGAUGAAGAACGCAGCGAAAUGCGAUAAGUAGUGUGAAUUGCAGAAUUCAGUGAAUCAUCGAAUCUUUGAACGCACAUUGCGGCCAUAGGUAUUCCUUUGGCCAUGCCUGUUCGAGCGUCAUUUACACCCUCAAGCCUAGCUUGGUGUUGGGCGUCUUUGUCCCGCCGUCUUCUCGCGCGCGGACACGCCUCAAAGUCAUUGGCGGCGGUCGUGCCGGCCCCUCGCGCAGCACAUUUGCGCUUCUCGGAGGCCUGGCGGAUCCGCGCUCCAGCAAGACCUUUUCAUGACUUGACCUCGGAUCAGGUAGGGAUACCCGCUGAACUUAAGCAU